rnacentral:misc_RNA from 1 species
UCCGCCGGUGCCUAUUACGAAGACCUGCGGCAUCACACAAAGAAAACAGCCGCCUCACCUUCUCCCUACCUCACCGUCUCUAGCUGUGCGCGCGCUGCCGCACCUCUCAUUCUCACGCCCUAUCUCUCCCAUUCCGCUGCUGACUUACGGCUGCACGUCUCACCCUUUACAAAGGGACCUCCUCUCCGGAGGCACCAGCAGUCCCUCUCGGAAUUACGUACAGCGUCACCCACACACGCGCAGAGUCCGUCGCAAGUACAUCAUGGGCCAGGUAGAUAGUGGCGCGCCUCUCCUCCAGUUGAACCCACCGGUGCUGGUGCGCACCACCCGCGGCGACUUGGGCGCCAUCGACCUAUAUGCGCUUCGACGGGCCACCGCAGAGGCGGUCCUUGCCACCCCUGCAGUGACCAACUCUCCACACCCACCAAAUGCUGGCGCCACCGCACUGUCCUUCGCAGCGCGCAAGCUGCACGACGCCAAGCGUACGGCGCACGUGUACCGGCAGACACGCGACGCCACCGUGCUGGCUAUGCCUGGUGUGUCGGUUGGUCCGCUAGCGCGAGCGCAGACUCUCCAUGCGAGUGAAAAACUCAAAGGCUCGCUCGUUGGCAGUGCAACUUACAAAGAAACAGCCACCUACACCGGCGCUGCUGCUGCCGCGACGGGCAACUCUAGACAUCGCCCGGCGGCAGGCGUGCGACACAGCGUCGGCUCCGCUCCUCCAUCACCGACUGCUGGCUCAGUGUCGAGCCGAGGUGCCGCUUCCCGCGCGCCGACGCCAGCCAUCGCCACAGCGGCUGCGGUUUCUGUCAAUGGCCAGGGAGUGUCGAUGAACAUGCCGCACCUCAUGCGGCACAUCCAGGACACCGGGGCACUGCUUGACACUCUCUUCCCCAUUCAGCAGCAGUCCGCCGCCGCUGUCCCUCCUAGCUGUACUGGGUCUCCGAGCGGCGUAAGUGGCGACAGCGAAGCUGCCCAGGAGGACGUGGAGCAGCUGGUCUCUGUUCAGACGGUCUCGGCAGCGCCUGCGUUUCGCGAGGAUGUCGUGGCGCUCCAUGCUACACUGCAGAAGCGCCUCGAGGAGCGCCGCGCGCGGCCUACGGGCCUGUGCCCCAUUCGGCGCGCACUCUAUUGUGACCUGUUCUCAGAGCUGGUGCGCCAGAUUACAGUCGAGGAGCCGGCGCGGGGUCUGCUGCUGGCCCGCGUGCGGGAGGAAGCGGAACACGCCCUCCAGGUCCACGCCGCUUUGCUGCGCGAAGGUCAACGGUUUGUCGCCAGUAAGCUGAUGCAGGACAAGCAUGACGCACUCGCCCUGAAAGAGCGCAUCGCUGCCCUGCGUCAGGAAAAGGUGGCGUUAGAGGUACAGAAGCACGAGUUGCUCGAGACGCUGAAGGAAAUGGAGCAGCGCUUCGAGGAGGAACGGCAGCUGCGGCGCAAGCAGCAGCAGGAUGAGGUGAAGUACUUGCGGCACGCGAACCAGCAGCUGAGCCUGCGACUGAAGAUGGAGACGGAGCGAGAGUCGGCCGCGGCUGAGGUAGAGGGCAGCAGUGAGGCAGCGCCAGCGACGUCGUAAACUAGCCCCUUUCUCUCGGGGAUUCUUUUGGUGUGCUUGCUUCUAUUCUCGCUUGCAUGUGUCCAACGAUUCGUGGUGUGUGCACACGAUACGGGGGAGAGAGGCACCGCGUGCAUUCGGUAGUCGUCGACCCUAAAAACCUCCCCCACAUUGCCGUACCCCUCUUCCCUUUGUCUCCAUGCGAUGUAGAAUAGAACGUCGUCUUUUUUGUUUUGCUGUGGUGGCUUGCUAGCGUUGUUGGUCGUCGUCGUCGCGGUGUUGGGCCCCUUCGCCGUUGAUGCGAUGCAACUUUGUUCUUGCCUCAAACGUGUGUGUCCGUGCGCGCGUCCGGUUACCCUUGAUGUACAUGUUGUCGAUCUUGCAGCAGCCCAUCCCCGCCACCGCCACCACCACCACCACUACCCCCUUCUCCACUCCUCUGCUCGCUGUGCGGGCACGUCUGUGUGGAAAAGGAGGAGGGGCGGGGGUCGGCGUCCACGUUGCAGCGCCUCCCCAAAGUGAAGAAUCGUGGCGUGACGGGGUGUCUCCACUCAUGCGAUGCGCGUUUGCGCAGUGAAGCGAGAAAAGGUGCUGUCGAGGGGGUGCUCACGGAUCAAGUGAAGCGAG